AGAAGAAAAGACAUGAUUGGGCCAGAAAGAAGACCACUGCAUCUUUGACUCUUAUCUUUAGUGGAAAACUACUGUAACCUGAGAUCUGUGUAAUUCUGGGAAGGACUUCAUGAACCUUCCUUUAUAAUGUCUUAUAAUGUGUGAACAAACUCAGUGUAUCCUUGUAUGGUGCGUACACACCUUGCAAGUAAAACUGUGUACAUUGAAUAACUCUCUGUAGUUCUUCCUUAGGUUGAAGGUUUAGCUUUGUAGUGCUGGUGCUGGGAAGAAUUUUCCUAACAGCAAUGCUACUUCCAAGAACCAAUUUAGAACACAACAAAAUCCAUAUAAUUACCCAAAAUACUAAACAAAACAGUAAAACUAACUGUACAUAGCCCAGAACAAAACACAUAAUAAAGCCAGCCUAAAUAAAAUAACAGAAGCUAAUAGAAUGAAGCCAAAAUACAUCUAAAAAAGCAAAUUACAAAUUCUAACUGACCAAAAAUAACCAAACCCCAAAGACCUGAAAACUUUCUUUGAUUUACAGAUUUGUCCUCUUACUAAAACAUUCUAUUAUCAUAGAGCUGAAAAAUCAAGGAUGCAAAUGUUUUAGACGUUUGUUGAAAGCUAAAACUUUUAAAUCUCUGUAAUCUUUCCCAAUCUGAAUUGGUGGUAUGACCUGGCAUAACUGAAGAUCUGUAUGACAUAGCUACCUUGAUGUAAUUAAUGAGAUGAUAAAUGGCCAUUUUGUAGCUUUGUUAUUGGCAAUCAGCAGUUGCUUUUUAGGAAGAUAUUUUAACAAAAGUUAGAAUUUGAAAGAGACGACACUUGAUAUCUACAUAAUUUAGGAAUUAUUUUGAGUUUAACCACCAGCACAUUGAGGGAAGGGAAUGUUAUGUUAAUGCACUGAUUUCUGGGGAAAUAUUAUUUAUUUAGUAUUUCAUGAAAGAAGAUUAUUUCAUAUUAAGGAAGUCUAUUGAAGCUAAUGCAUAUUGCCCAUCAAGAAUUUUGGACUUUAUUGCUUUAUUUGUGAGAGUGAGCAACUGCAUCCAUCUUUCCUGUACAGUGUAUGUGACUGAAAGGUUGCUAUGUUACCUAAUGCUACUGUCAAUGAUGAACACCUGAGGAUGCCCACAUGUAGAUUCAGAACUUGUUCAGAACUGAUCAGGCUAUCACAGAUUUGAUGUGGUUCAGUUCAGCCUGGAGCCAUUGUACAAACUACUGUUAGUUUAUCUGAGCAAUAUGGACAAACAUGGCCAGGUAAUCAGUUGUUUGAAUCUUUGGUGGCAAUUUUUCUCUAGACUGCAGUUUUUUUUUUUUUUUAAAUGCAUCUCUUUCCUCAUGCAUAUUCACCUCAUGAAGCGUGUCAGAAAAUGAUCUUGUAUCAUCUCAACUGGGAUUCAAGAAUACACCAGAGAAAGACAACACAUGGAGAAGUUAAUUAACCAUAUGGCACUUGCAUUUGAUUUUGACAAGACAAUGAACAUAUAUUGUAUACGAAGAUGAUCACUCUGCUCUGUUCUGUUCCACAGAUGAAAUAUUCAUGUUCUUUUUAAUCCCUUACCCUAAUCACCAUUCAGAUAUGUGAUUAUCCAACCAAGAUAUAUGCAAAAAUAUUCAUAUAGUGUGGCUGGUUUAUACUUCAGAAG